rnacentral:rRNA from 1 species
GCCAGACUCCUACGGGAGGCAGCAGUGAGGAAUAUUGGUCAAUGGGCGGAAGCCUGAACCAGCCAAGUCGCGUGAGGGAAGAAGGCCCUGCGGGUCGCAGACCUCUUUGGACGGGGAGCAAGGCCGCCGACGUGUCGGCGGAAGGAGAGUACCCGUAGAACAAGCAUCGGCUAACUCCGUGCCAGCAGCCGCGGUAAUACGGAGGAUGCGAGCGUUAUCCGGAUUUAUUGGGUUUAAAGGGUGCGUAGGCGGACGUUUAGGCCGGGGGUAAAAUCGGGGGGCCCAACCCCGCUCCGCCGUUGAAACUGUGUCCCUUGAGUGCGCGAAGGGUAGGCGGAAUGCGUGGUGUAGCGGUGAAAUGCAUAGAUAUCACGCAGAACUCCGAUCGCGAAGGCAGCCUACCGGCGCGCAACUGACGCUCGUGCACGAAAGCGUGGGUAUCGAACAGGAUUAGAUACCCGAGUA